GACGAACGCUGGCGGCGUGCUUAACACAUGCAAGUCGAACGAUGAACCGGAGCUUGCUCUGGGGAUUAGUGGCGAACGGGUGAGUAACACGUGGGCAACCUGCCCCAGACACCGGGAUAACCAUUGGAAACGAUGGCUAAUACCGGAUACGACCACUUCGGGCAUCCGAUGGUGGUGGAAAGGAUUCUGGUCUGGGAUGGGCCCGCGGCCUAUCAGCUUGUUGGUGGGGUAAUGGCCUACCAAGGCGACGACGGGUAGCCGGCCUGAGAGGGCGACCGGCCACACUGGGACUGAGACACGGCCCAGACUCCUACGGGAGGCAGCAGUGGGGAAUAUUGCGCAAUGGGCGAAAGCCUGACGCAGCGACGCCGCGUGAGGGACGAAGGUCUUCGGAUUGUAAACCUCUUUCAGCAGGGAUGAAGCGAAAGUGACAGUACCUGCAGAAGAAGCACCGGCUAACUACGUGCCAGCAGCCGCGGUAAU
rnacentral:rRNA from 1 species